CUUUCAGACAUUUCAACAGUUUAUUUUUCUAGAAGCAGCCGGUCAGUUGGUGCUAGUGCAAGGUUAGCUAAGCCGUUACGCAAGAGAUAUCGUAGCCCCCAUACUGGACCCGUGCUCACGCCAUGGGUGGACCUUUGGAACACAUCGGUCCAUGGUGUCCAGGCAUCAAUCACUUGACCCGUGCUCACGCCACUACUUACCUGCCAUGGGCCAGUUACGAGCUGUUGCAUCCUUCCGCAGAUGUUUGUUUACCAGUGCUGGUGUUGACGGUUUUUGCCGCGAGCCAACAUGGAAACGGUGGAGUGAGACUCGACUCAAACGCACCGUUCACCGUUACUUCGGCGAUGACCGCGGCGAACAAAGUGAGCCGAGCAGCGCGCCAGAGCCCAGAGCGAAGCCAACAGCACACCCCAGCUGCGGAGCUGCCAGUCCAAACCGGCAACCGCGGCCCAAGCCGCCGUCUCUCACCUGACCUGACCAAACUCCCGCCGCGUCCCAUCCUCGCGCGAACCCACCCGCCACUCCCGGACGCACCGAGGCGAGGCGAUGCCGGGGCCGGGGGCGCACCUGCUGUACGCGCUGUCCGGCGGGGCAGCGCUCUCGCGGCUCGCCGGCGGUGGCCGCCGCUUCGGCCCGCACCACUGCGCCGUCUACGCCGCCAACGCCUUCCUCGGCCCGGACCUCGGCGCCUUCGCCGAGUGGCUCGCGUCCUUCCUCCCCGCCGCCGCCGCCGCCGCCGCCGCGGGGGACCUCGCCAUGGCCGCCGUCCACCACCCCUUCUACUACCCGCUCCUCCUCGGCCUCCCGCUCGCAUGCCUCUACGCGUGGCUCUCCCGCUGGCUGCUCCGCGCCGGCCUCCUCGACGCGCCCGCCGGGGUAGCAUUAAGCAGAAGACAGUGCUUCUUGCUAAUCGCAGCCGGCUCGCUCUCCCACUUCUUCUUGGAUCACUUGUUUGAGGAAAAUGGCCAUUCUACAAUGUAUACUUGGAUACUGAGCACUGGUUGGUGGAAAGGACGCGCUCCUAUCAAUCCAGAUGCAGUGUUUGUUGUCGGCCUUCUUUGCGUUUGCCUCAUUGGGGGAUUUGUGUACAUUAACAGAGUGGAGCAUGGAAAGUCAGUGACUGAAAAGUCAAAUCAAUCUUUCUUUCUCAUCCUGGUGAUAGCCACCCUGUACUGUAUGUGGUGUGCCAGCCAGAUAUACCUGCGAAAUCCCCCUCAACCCGCCAUAGAGCCUUCUCUAGCCUAGACACAACUUGCUCCAUGGAUGGUCGCUGCUGCUUGUGGCCGGUGCAUGACAGAGCAAGCUUCAGGCAGAGAUCAAAUGCGUCUACCGAGUAUUCGCCCUUGAGCCUAGGAUCGGCAAAUUCCAACACAUUUCCCUCUCUGAUGAGCAAAGAAGCCUGAGAGCAAAAGGAGCUGCAGGAGCACCAUACCAAAGCUGUAUACAUCCCCUGCAGCAUUCACCCUGUGGUUGUGGCGGUACUCUGGGUCGACGUAGCCAAAAGUUCCUCUAACUUCAGAGCUCACGUGGGAUACGCCUAUGUCGAUGACUCUCGACAGUCCAAAGUCCGCGAGUUUGGGCUCCAUAUCAACCCCAAGAAGUAUAUUUGUUGGCUACAAUAAGAUCCUUCAGGGAAUAUGUGAAGGAACCAAAGGCCGCAAGCACUGCCAAGUGCGAUCUGAAGUCUCUGAGUCCAUGACAGGCUCUUAUCCUUCCCUGUCAUCAAAUUGUUACUUUUAGUCAUAGAGAACAUUACAUAAUACAUCCUGUAGUCUCCUCAAAUAUGUACUUACCAAAUAGCCAUUCUGAUAGGUUACCAUUGACGCAUAGCUCAUACACAAGAAAGCACUCUUCCUGCCCAUCACAGUAACCUCUUAAUGACACAAGGUUUGGAUGCUUGACAUGUGAGAGGCUUGUAACUUCCCUUACGAAGGUUUCUGCAUGUUCAUUCUUAAUUAUGUGCUUCACGGCAACAGGCCAGCCAUUUGCAAGCAUUCCUUUGUACACUUUCCCUGCAAAUCACAUCAGGCUUUGUUCGGUUAAUCCCAACCCCAGGUGGAUUGGAGGGGAUUUGCAGGGAUUUUGGCUUGCAGGGGAUUAAUUCCUCCUCAAUCCCCUUCAAAUCCACCUCAACCGAACAAGCCCUCAGGAAGGUGCACCCAACUCUUAGAACAACAAUAGCCUACUGAAUGUGGUCACUAAUUACUUUUUACUCCUUCUGUCCGGAAUUAGUUGACGCUCAAACAGACGGAGGAAGUACUUAUCAUGUUGUAUCCCAGUUCUGCUCUCUGCGUCUCUAUCUGAUUCAUGGAUAAUGAUCUUAAUUCUGAAAUUGGCUAGUAUUGUUAUGUACCUGCAAUUCCCUGCCCGAUGAUGUUUGAAAGGUGUAAGUUCUCAGUUGCAGCGUAUAUCUCUUUGACUGACAUCUGCUUGCAGGUAACCUCCUCAUACUCAACAGACGCCGUACCAACCUCUGCAACAUAAAGAUGCCAAAUUGCAUACCUCUAUUAGCAAUAAAUGACGACAAACCCGAUGAUCACCGCCGCGACGAGGCACCCAAGCAGUACUUCAUAUCCUGCAUACUCUCAGAAGGCAAUGAAUUUCAAGGCACGGGUAGAAAGGAAGGGGAAAAGGCAGCAAUGAUGAAUAGCCAUUGCCGGCCAAGGGCCAGAACGGAAGAAGCCAAAGCACGGAAAAAUAUUGGAUCAAGGAAUCGGGCCGGGUCCGGACCAGAAGACGGCAUCAACUGAGUCUCAUCUUCAUAUGAGCCAAACUAUAAAACAAUAAGGUUGCGUCCAUCAAAAGAGCAACAACUGGAGCAAGACAUAUGGCGUUGGGGUAUAAUGCUUGAACGACCACUGGAUCAUCAGGAGAGCCAAGGGCCAAGCCUGGACUGGAACCUCCAAGAAAGAACCAGCAUUCGCACUGAUCAACUGGCAAGAUGCAAAUUCAGAUUGCAUUACAAGCCUCCGAUGAAGUGAAGCGAGAUGUUCGAUGGACAAAGACAAUACACCCCAAAGUUGUUACGCCCUCUGCCUUUUAUGAUGCAACAGCACAUCUACCAAUCAUGUGCACACGCAAUAGCGCUUUCAACAGGAGAUGGCAGCAUUAUCAUGCUUAGAGAUUAAGGAUGCGCCACUGCUGCUACAAAAACGAAGAAAUUCAAGCUACAUGGCACAACAAGUCCCCGCUUUUGGAUUCUUUUGUUCCAAAUGGGUCAUGGCACAGGACCACCAUAACGAUCGGCUAAACUAAAGAAAUAAUUUUGCACAACCUUGGAGCAAACAGAUUUUGUUGUCAUGCCUGUGCCGAAGCGUGUGGAAUGGAGCUUCAAAUACAAUAUUCAAGAUCAAACCGAACAACUACACCAACAUCCAAGUGAAGGUGUGUUCUUUAACUCUAUGGAACACACUAAAAGUAUGUGUACUGUUCAAUCAAGGAACAAAUACCACAAAACUGUAAACAUAUUGAUAUCUGAGCAUGUUUUCACUUGAAGAUAAGCUUAAAUGAUGAACUUGGCUCAUAGUCAGGGCAUUGUUUUAGUAAUAAAUAAUAUGAUUAUGUGCAUCAGUCCAUGCAAAGCCUAGAGGUUAUCCACCUUUCCAAGAAAAAGGAACCGUACUUUUGAGAAACCUGCCUCACUCCACACAAAAUACAAUAGACUUGCCCCGGGUCUAUUUGUAUGGGGAAUGGAUGUUAUCAUAAUCAAACUUUCGGAAAAGGUUUGCCGUGGAAACAGUGCGGCCAACUCCAAAUGCGUGGGGCUCCGCCUUAGUUUUGGGUGGCCGGAGGUUUCCUCUGUUUUUGAUUCUUGUAGAAAUUCAAGCUACAUGGCACAACAAGUCCCCGCUUUUGAAUUCUUUUGUUCCAAAUGGGUCAUGGCACAGGACCACCCUAACGAUAGGCUAAACUAAAGAAAUAAUUUUGCAUAACCUUGGAGCAAACAGAUUUUGUUGUCAUGCCUGUGCCGUAAGGAAAAUUUACAAUCCCUAUUGUUAUUAACUUACAAAACAGGUUUUGAGCUUUUGCACUAAUCUUUCAUGAGAAGCAAUUGUACUUAAGAGUUUCAUGGUGAACAUUGAAAGUGCAUCCGAGUAUAACUUCUAUAAGAGAGUUAUUUGCUUCAACUCCAAGCACGAUGACUUACUCAAAUCUUCAUCAACAAGAAGCUUGUGGAAUGGAGCUUCAAAUACAAUAUUCAAGAUCAACCGAAAAACUACACCAACAUCCAAGUGAAGGUGUGUUCUCUAACUCUAUGGAACACACUAAGUAUGUGCAUUUUUUUUUCCGGGCAAAUCAGAGAGCUUUAUUCAGAUAAGAGCAUUCCCCGGACAAUCAGCCAGAAGGCUGGUCACAAGGAAGCUAGGGGUCUCAGCAAGCCAUGUUUCGGUCACAUUCAAGAUCGGAGCCACAAUAGACCGGGAAUUGUGGCGAGUUCUCCAGAGGGUCACCAGCUCCAAACAGUCUACCUCUAUUAUCACAUGCAGGAAGCCUCGAAGCGUGGCAAAGCGAACUCCUUCCCGCAGCGAAAAAGCCUCAAUGAUCAGGGGAUCAGUCGACACCCCUAAAUAUGGUUUACUCCAUGCUCCCAGAAACGCAGUAGACGAACGGGCGACUCCACCUGCACCCCCUCGUCCUUCUACCAAGUUCAGCGCUCCAUCCGUGGUGAUUUUAACAACACCCGCAUCGGGUGAUCGCCAUCCAAAGCCCGGCAGGACCAAAGCCUCCUUCCUAGGAAGCUGUAACAGAGCUAUCACUUCUUUUGUUGCUCGAAUGGUUGCGACUGGAUCUCGUCCUGUCUCCCCAUGUUUAAUCCGAUUUCUGGAAUGCCAUAUAGACCACAUAAUAGUUGUGAUCUUUGCCCGGUCA